AGGGGACAACAAGCGGAAGAAAUAAGAGCGGGAGGAUGCCGCAAUUCCUGCAACUGUGGCUGCUGCUGCCACUGCUGCUGGGGCCCAGCUCUGGGCUGGGGAUUCUGAUCUCACAGUGGCCAAGCAGAGCUAUCUGGAGAAGAGGAACCACAGUGAAGAUCCAGUGUUACCAGAAUAACAGUGACCCCAAUUUCCUGUACUGGUACCGGCAGCUGGCGGGUCAGAGUCUGGUGCUCAUGGCCUCGGCCAACCUGGGCUCUUCAGCCUCCUAUGAGAAUGGGUUCGAGGAGAGCAAGUUCCCCAUCCAACGUCCAGAACUGAGGUUUUCAUCCCUGGAGGUGAAGGAGCUGGAGCCAGAGGACAGCGGCCUCUAUUUCUGUGCUACUAGUGGCCCUGUGGACCUUAGAGUCACCCAGAUCUCCAGAUACCUGGUCACUGUUCAAGGAAAGAAUGUGAAGCUGACCUGUGAGCACGAUCAGAGCCACAACCACUUGAACUGGUACCAGCAGAACCCGAGGCAGGGAUAA